CGCCCGGAAAAUGACUUCAUAGAAGCGGGGUUCCGGGAUAACGAGGAGAGGGGAGUAUCGAAACUUCGGCGGGUGCCCCUCCGUGGCCGCAGCCAUGUGACAGGUUCUACAAAUACGGGGGCGACCCCGGAACAGAAGGAA
rnacentral:ncRNA from 1 species